UUCCGGUUGAUCUGCCGGAGGUUACUGCUAUCGUGUUCGCCUAAGCCAUGCGAGUCAUAUGUAGCAAUACAUGGCGUAACUGCUCAGUAACACGUGGAUAACCUGCCCUUGGGACCGGCAUAACCCCGGGAAACUGGGGAUAAUUCCGGAUAACGCAUAUGUGCUGGAAUGCUUUAUGCGUAAAAUGGAUUCGUCUGCCCAAGGAUGGGUCUGCGGCCUAUCAGGUAGUAGUGGGUGUAAUGUACCUACUAGCCAGCGACGGGUACGGGUUGUGAGAGCAAGAGCCCGGAGAUGGAUUCUGAGACAUGAAUCCAGGCCCUACGGGGCGCAGCAGGCGCGAAAACUUUACAAUGCGGGAAACCGUGAUAAGGGGACACCGAGUGCCAGCAUCAUAUGCUGGCUGUCCAGGUGUGUAAAAUACACCUGUUAGCAAGGGCCGGGCAAGACCGGUGCCAGCCGCCGCGGUAACACCGGCGGCCCGAGUGGUGACCGUGAUUAUUGGGUCUAAAGGGUCCGUAGCCGGUUUGGUCAGUCCUCCGGGAAAUCUGAUAGCUCAACUAUUAGGCUUUCGGGGGAUACUGCCAGACUUGGAACCGGGAGAGGUAAGAGGUAC
rnacentral:rRNA from 1 species